rnacentral:lncRNA from 1 species
UUGUGUUCCUGUGUUUUGGCAGCCGUGGAUCGUUCUCGAGGGAGCAGGUGAAGGAGAUAGCUAAUGGGUUGGAGAGAAGCGGCCAGAGAUUUUUGUGGGUGGUGAAAAUUCCACCUGUGGAUAACAAAAGCAAGGAAAUCAAGGAAGAAAAUUUGGUGUGGAACGACUUUGAUUUGGAUGAGCUUAUGCCAGAAGGGUUCUUGGAAAGAACCAAUAAUAGGGGAAUGGUGGUGAAGUCAUGGGCGCCGCAGGUGGCGGUGCUGAGACACCAAUCCGUGGGUGGGUUUGUGUCUCACGUGGGGUGGAACUCAGUGUUGGAAGCGGUGGUUGCGGGAGUGCCAAUGGUGGCAUGGCCUCUCCACGCCGAACAACACCUGAAUAAGGCUGUUUUGGUCGAGAAUAUGAAGAUGGCCAUUGGUGUGGAGCAGAGAGAUGGUGACAGGUUUGUGAGUGGGGCUGAGUUGGAGAGGCGACUCAAAGAGUUGAUGGAUUCUGAAGAGGGGAGAGAGCUGAGAGAGAGAAGCGAGAAGAUAAGAGAGAUGGCGGUGGAAGCUUGGAGAGAGGAGGGAUCAUCCACUACGGCCCUUGCCAAGUUGGCCGAGAUCUGGAAGCAUGAUUAAGGUUGCAGGUCAAUAUAGGUAAGAGUGAGCCCAUUCCGGAUUGAAUUGCUAAUAGUUUUUGAGUUAAUCCUUUGCUCAUUGGUAAUUAGGUUGCAUCGAUCUACUCGUUAUAUAAGAGACUGGUUCACUAUUAUAUUUAAAAUUACUAUUAAGAAAAAUAAAUAUACUUUCCUUUUGAGUAGUUGUACAUAUUUAAGAAGCAUCAUAUAUAAAAUUAUAAUUAAGAAAAUUAAAUAUAUGUAACUUAUCCUAUGCAACUUGUCUUAUAUAUAUGUAUGUCUAGGACAAGUUGCACCAACCUAUGUUUCUCGUAGUCAUAAUUUUAUAUAUGAUAUAUGCUCCUUAAAUAUAUACGAUUCGAAGCAUAUUGUAAGCAUUGUAUAUAAAAUUACGAUUAAAAAAAAUAAACAUAGAUAGUGUAACUUAUCCUACCCAACUUGCCCUAUAUAUAUGCGACAAGUUGCACCAACCUAUGUUUCUCUUAGUCAUAAUUUUAUGUAUAAUAUAGGCCCCUUAAAUAUAUACAACUCGUAGCAUAUUGUAAGCAUUGUAUAUAAAAUUAUAAUUAAGAAAAUUAAAUAUUGGUUGUGUAACUUAUCCUACGCAACUUUGUCCUAUAUAUAUAUAUAUAUAUAUAUAUAGAUAUAGAUAUAGGACAAGUUGCACCAACCUAUGUUUCUCAUAGUCAUAAUUUUAUAUAUAAUAUAUUAUGCUCCUUAAAUAUAUACAACUCAGAGCAUAUUGUAAGCAUUGUAUAUAAAAUUAUGAUUAAGAAAAGUAUAUAUACUUUCCUCUCGAGUUGGUCAACUUGCCCUAUAUGUAUCUUGAAUUAUAUGUAUUCAAAGAACAAAUUGUAACCAUUGUAUAUAAAAUUAUAAAGAAGAAAAACAUAUAUAUUUUCCUCUUGAGUAGUUGUAUAUAUUUAAGAAGCAAUGAGAGAAAAGCAAAAAAAUAAAAUAAAAAUAAAGAUUUGACAAUUAAUAAUAGCUUAUUUAACUAAAAACAACAAGAUUAAGCUAUUUACAUUCAAACUUAUUUUUCAAAGUAAAAAAUUUUGAUUAAAAGAAUUAAAUUUGUGGCUAAAAGAGAACUAUAAAUGUAUAUAUAUAUAUAUAUAUAUAUAUAUAUAUAUAUUAAAUAAAAUUAUAUAAAAUUGUUAGUUAUAAAUUUUAAAUAUUUUAUUCAGGAAUAUACUUAUACACAAGAGAAAUUUAGAAUAUGGGACUGUAAUAAAAUUUUAUUUUAAACAAAUAUUAAAUAUUAAAAAUAAUAUAUAUUUUAUUUUAUUUUCCUUUUAUUUAUUUUACAAACUAAAUAUAAAUAUAACAUAAUAGAUUUUAUUGUAUAUAGCAUCUUAAGUUUUCAUUUCCAUUCUAUCCUAUUGUAUUCCAAUAGCCAAAUUGUAACCUAAGAGCAAAACCUUAGGAUUGAGGAAGAGAACCCAACGAGGGAGACAGUUGUCCCUUUUUUGAAUCUGCUUUUUCAUCUCCUCUUAUAGAUCAUCCUCAACCAGUGUUUGAAAUAUAAAAAAAUUACGGCGAAAUUUCGCUUAUCGUCCGGCUCCGACUUGAUAUUAUUGGUCGACGGAAAUUUCGGUAAUAUUUCGGAAAUAUCACCGAUAUUUCUGUAUUUAUCGGUAUUUUUACCGAUUUUUUGGGAAAUUCCCCGAUAUUUCCUACCAAUCCAGCUCACGCACAGGAUACAAAAUCUGUCCAUUUUUUUUUUAUUUUAAAAAAAAACAAAUAAGAUGCUGUUUGGUAAUCUGAUCAUGAUUUGCAGGCAAAGGUUGUGCUUUUUCAGUUAAAUUUAAAUCCAGUGGCAUGGAUUUUCACGGAAAUCAAACGAGGAUGCAUUUUCCCGGAAAUCAAAUGGGGGAUGGAUUUUCUUGGGAAUCAAAGGGGGUUGCAAAAAAACAAAAAUAAAUAAAUAACAUGAUUAGAUUAGUACCUGCGAGGAUUGAGAAUGGCAGAGGAAAAUAGGGCCUUUUUAGGGAUUCUCUCGUCUGGAGGGCAACUUCAGACAAGGGCUUCUUGAUGCCUCGAGUGAGAGAAGUGGGUGGCCUUUUGAGUUCGAUCCCUG